AUCCGCACAAGCGGUGGAUGAUGUGGAUUAAUUCGAUGCAACGCGAAAAACCUUACCUACCCUUGACAUGUCAGGAAUCCCGGAGAGAUUUGGGAGUGCUCGAAAGAGAGCCUGAACACAGGUGCUGCAUGGCUGUCGUCAGCUCGUGUCGUGAGAUGUUGGGUUAAGUCCCGCAACGAGCGCAACCCUUGUCAUUAAUUGCCAUCAUUCAGUUGGGCACUUUAAUGAGACUGCCGGUGACAAACCGGAGGAAGGUGGGGAUGACGUCAAGUCCUCAUGGCCCUUAUGGGUAGGGCUUCACACGUCAUACAAUGGUCGGUUCAGAGGGUUGCCAACCCGCGAGGGGGAGCCAAUCUCAGAAAGCCGAUCGUAGUCCGGAUCGCAGUCUGCAACUCGACUGCGUGAAGUCGGAAUCGCUAGUAAUCGCGGAUCAGCAUGUCGCGGUGAAGUACGUUCCCGG
rnacentral:rRNA from 1 species